rnacentral:rRNA from 1 species
CCUACGGGAGGCAGCAGUGGGGAAUAUUGGGCAAUGGGCGCAAGCCUGACCCAGCAACGCCGCGUGAAGGAAGAAGGCUUUCGGGUUGUAAACUUCUUUUAUUGAGGACGAAACAAAUGACGGUACUCAAGGAAUAAGCCACGGCUAACUACGUGCCAGCAGCCGCGGUAAUACGUAGGUGGCAAGCGUUAUCCGGAUUUACUGGGUGUAAAGGGCGUGUAGGCGGGACUGCAAGUCAGAUGUGAAAACCAUGGGCUCAACCCAUGGCCUGCAUUUGAAACUGUAGUUCUUGAGUGAUGGAGAGGCAGGCGGAAUUCCGUGUGUAGCGGUGAAAUGCGUAGAUAUACGGAGGAACACCAGUGGCGAAGGCGGCUUGCUGGACAGUAACUGACGCUGAGGCGCGAAAGCGUGGGGAGCAAACAGGAUUAGAUACCCCGGUAGUC